GGAGCCCGCAUGGAUCCAAGAUUCACCCAGAAAACGUGAAGUUUGGUGGCGGAAAAAUCAUGGUCUGGGGUUCCAUCCAGUAUGGGGGUGUGCGAGAGAUCUGCAGGGUGGAAGGCAACAUCAAUAGUCUCAAAUACCAAGGCUGGGCCGGCCCAGUCACCAGACAUGAACAUCAUGGAGCAUAUGUGGGGUAGGAUGGAAGAGAAGCAUGGAAGACCAAACCAAAGAGUACUGAUGAACUCUGGAGCUUUCCUAGCUAGUCCUGAUGACUUCAUCAACACAUGGUCUGAAUCCUCGCCAAACCGCAUGGGUCCAGUCCUUCAAGCUCAUGGAAGUCAUACAAGAUAUUACAUUUGGAUCUCACAGCACCGCUAUUUAAUUUGCUGACAUAUUUUAGUAUUUGUAGUAAAUUUGUUCAAUUUCUGUAUAGGCGACAAGACUUUUGUCUUGCCAAAAUUUGACCUUUCUGUCUUGUUUAAAUAAAUCUUUAUUUAGUGAAACUAAUUUAUUUCAGUGCGAGGGUUUUAGCUUUUCAUAUGAGCUAUUUCUUACACCAAUUGAUGAAUUAAAAGUCAGGUUAAUAGCAGGUGUUUCUACAAAAUAGAUAAGCGACAAGACUUGUGUCAGGGACUGUAUAUGUAUCCCAAAUCAAUAUCUAAUCUGACAAAACAUGCGUUACGGGAGACCGUGAUAAGCCCUAUUACAACAAACUGGGUAUUCCUUAUUGUCUGAAGGAGUCAGAUAAUCACUUUUAAGACUUGAGAAAUCCUAAUUAGGACCAAAAAAGAAGCUAUGUAAUGUGUUAAUGUUCUCUGUCUUGGAUGAGUAACAGCAGCUGGCAACAGAGGGAUGUGGUAAUACACAGCACCUUAUAUGUUGGCAUCCAGUAAGUAGCGUCAGGCUUCAGGGGCAGGGGCAUGUUGAGGCAUUGAUUCUUGGAACUUGACAUGUUGAGCUUGGCGGUUUUCUUCUUUGUUGAGCACACAGUUCCACGCUGAGAGAAUGUUUAUGUAGCGUGAAGCUCAGGGUCUUGUGUCCAGAAAUCCCUGCAACCAAAUACAACUUCCAUGUUUCAUUUCUUGUACAAAACAGUGAUUAUGUUGUUAUUGGCACCGCUCUCUGUUGUUUAAAGUUGGUCCAGUUCCACAAAAUGACU